rnacentral:rRNA from 1 species
CAAGCGAUAGGUAAGGGCAUUUGGUGAAUGCCUUGGCAAUCAGAGGCGAAGAAGGACGUAAUACAUUGCGAAAAGCUCAGGGGAGUUAUGAAUAGGCAUUGAUCCUGAGAUAUCCGAAUGGGGAAACCCGGCCGUAAGGUCAUCAUUAUCUGAAAAGAUAGGGUAAUGAAGCGAACUGAGCGAACUGAAACAUCUAAGUAGCUCAAGGAAAGGAAAUCAACCGAGACUCCGAAAGUAGUGGCGAGCGAAAUCGGACCAGCCAAAAAAGACAUAGGGCGCAAGAAGAACAUUCUGGGAAGGAUGACCAAAGAAGGUGAUAGUCCUGUAUUUAUAAGCAAACUAUGUAAAAACGAGUAGGGCGGAGCACGAGAAAUUCUGUCUGAAGAUGGGUAGACCACUAUCCAAGGCUAAGUACUACUGAUUGACCGAUAGUGAACAAGUACCGUGAGGGAAAGGUGAAAAGCACCCCGAUAAGGGGAGUGAAAGAGAACCUGAAACCGGAUGCCUACAAGCAGUCGGAGGAACAUUAAGUUCUGACGGCGUACCUUUUGUAUAAUGGGUCAGCGACUUAAUUUAUGUAGCAAGCCUAAGCCGAUAGGUGUAAGCGAAGCGAAAGCGAGUGUUAAUAGCGCGAAAAGUUACAUGGAUUAGACCCGAAACCGAGUGAUCUAGCUAUGAGCAGGUUGAAGGUUGGGUAACACCAACUGGAGGACCGCACCCACGCCUGUUGAAAAAGUCGGGGAUGACUUGUAGCUAGGGGUGAAAGGCCAAUCAAACUCGGAAAUAGCUGGUUCUCCGCGAAAACUAUUUAGGUAGUGCGGCAAGCGAAUACCUUGAGGGGUAGAGCACUGGAAGAAUGAGGGGGGAGCGAUCCUUACUAAAUUUUACCAAACUCCGAAUACUCAAGAGUAAUACUUGCCAGACAGACAGUAGGUGCUAAGGUCUAUUGUCGAGAGGGAAAGAGCCCAGACCGUCAAUUAAGGUCCCUAAAUUAUGGCUAAGUGGUAAAGGAAGUGAAUUGUCCAAAACAGUCAGGAGGUUGGCUUAGAAGCAGCCAUCCUUUAAAGAAAGCGUAAUAGCUCACUGAUCUAAUUAAGACGAUUUGCGCCGAAGAUGUAACGGGGCUAAAGCCAUAUACCGAAAUUACGGGUUUGUACUAAGUACAAGCGGUAGCGGAGCGUUCUGUAAGCCUGCGAAGGUGUUCCGUAAGGAAUGCUGGAGGUAUCAGAAGUGAGAAUGCUGACAUGAGUAGCGAAAAGAAGUGUGAGAGACACUUCCGCUGAAAGUCCAAGGUUUCCUGCGUAAAGCUAAUCUGCGCAGGGUUAGUCGGCCCCUAAGGUGAGGCUGAGAAGCGUAGCUGAUGGGAAGCAGGUUAAUAUUCCUGCACCAGCUAGGAGGUGACGGAUUUCAAAGAUUGUAACUGAUUAUUGGAUUUCGGUUGCAGUUCAGAAGUUCCAGGAAAGAGCCCUAGCAUAGACCGUACCCCAAACCGACACAGGUGGACAGGUAGAGAAUACCAAAGCGCUUGAGAGAACUAUGUUGAAGGAACUAGGCAAAAUGCUUGUGUAACUUCGGGAUAAGCAAGCCCCAUUUUUAGGCAACUAAAGGUGGGGGGCACAUACUAGGGGGUAGCGACUGUUUACUAAAAACACAGGGCUCUGCUAAAUUGAAAGAUGAAGUAUAGGGUCUGACGCCUGCCCGGUGCUGGAAGGUUAAGGAGAGAUGUUCACGCAUUGAACUGAAGCCCCAGUAAACGGCGGCCGUAACUAUAACGGUCCUAAGGUAGCGAAAUUCCUUGUCGGGUAAGUUCCGACCUGCACGAAUGGCGUAACGACUUCCCCGCUGUCU